CCAGACUCCUACGGGAGGCAGCAGUGGGGAAUAUUGCACAAUGGGGGAAACCCUGAUGCAGCGACGCCGCGUGAGUGAAGAAGUAUUUCGGUAUGUAAAGCUCUAUCAGCAGGGAAGAUAAUGACGGUACCUGAGUAAGAAGCCCCGGCUAACUACGUGCCAGCAGCCGCGGUAAUACGUAGGGGGCAAGCGUUAUCCGGAUUUACUGGGUGUAAAGGGAGCGUAGACGGCAUGGCAAGUCUGAAGUGAAAGCCCGGGGCUCAACCGCGGGACUGCUUUGGAAACUGCUAAGCUGGGGUGCAGGAGAGGUAAGUGGAAUUCCUAGUGUAGCGGUGAAAUGCGUAGAUAUUAGGAAGAACACCAGUGGCGAAGGCGGCUUGCUGGACAGUAACUGACGUUGAGGCUCGAAAGCGUGGGGAGCAAACAGGAUUAGAUCCCCUAGUA
rnacentral:rRNA from 1 species